rnacentral:lncRNA from 1 species
UUAAAACUAGCCUGAGCAUCGUAGUGAGACCAUGUCUCAAAAUAAAAGAUAAUAAAAAAAAAAUGGAGCAUGUUGCUCUGUGGUAAAGCACCCCUGGGUUCAAUCCCCAGUACUAAAAAAAGAACUUAUGAGUAGCUUAGUAUAGUGGUACACACCUGUAAUCCCUGUAACUCUGGAGGCUGAGGCAGGAGGAUCACACGUUCAAGGCCAGCCUGGACAAAUUAACAAGAUUCUAUUGAAGUAAAAAGGGCUAGGGACCGACCAUACAUGUAUGAUUUUGUUGGGAUAAACCCAACUAAUUUGUAUAACUAAUGCUCUGAUAAAAAAAAAAGGCGUGGUUGGGGGGUGAAACAGUGAUAGAGCACUUGCCUAGCACACAUGAGGCUCUGGGUUCAAUUGUUAGUAUCUCACACACACACACACACACACACAUCAUGAGUCUUUUUUUUUUAACAGUACCAGCAUCACACCCAGAUUCUAGCAUGUUCUAAGCAAACAUUCUACCACUGACCUACACCCCCAGCUAUAAGUUGUUCUUGAUUUGUCCUGUAUCCAGUUCCUAGCAAGUUGGCCUUAAGAACAUGGCCAUCAUCUUGCCCCUUUUUCCAUAUACUGUGUACUACCCUCACCCAACAUCUCAUAUCAGGACCUCUUUGAUAACAGUGAACUGGAAAAGAUCUUAAUUGGUCACCUGCUUUCAUUCUUGCCUAGCUAUAAUAAAUCUUCUGAACAGCAACUGAAGUGAAUGGGUUUGUUGUUGUUGUUGUUCUGGGACUAAACCCAGUUGCACUUUCACCACCUUAUUACAUCCCCAGUACUUUUUAUUUUUAUUUUUUUUUUAUUUUGAGACAGGCUCUCUCCAAAUUGCUUAGGGCCUCACUAAAUUGCUGAGAUUGACUUCAGAUUUGAAAUCCUCCUGCCUCAGCCUCCUGGGUUGCUGGGAUUACAGGUAUUUGCCAUUGUGUCUGGCAAAUUUUUUAGAAAUGGAACUCACAUUACGUUACAAUAGUA